rnacentral:rRNA from 1 species
GACGAACGCUGGCGGCGUGCUUAACACAUGCAAGUCGAGCGGUAAGGCCCUUUCGGGGGUACACGAGCGGCGAACGGGUGAGUAACACGUGGGUGACCUGCCCUCAGCUCUGGGAUAAGCCUGGGAAACUGGGUCUAAUACCGGAUAUGACUCCAUGACGCAUGUUGUGGGGUGGAAAGCCUUGUGCGGCUGAGGAUGGGCCCGCGGCCUAUCAGCUUGUUGGUGGGGNGAUGGCCUACCAAGGCGACGACGGGUAGCCGGCCUGAGAGGGCGACCGGCCACACUGGGACUGAGACACGGCCCAGACUCCUACGGGAGGCAGCAGUGGGGAAUCUUGCGCAAUGGGCGAAAGCCUGACGCAGCGACGCCGCGUGAGGGAUGACGGCCUGGUGU